rnacentral:tRNA from 1 species
GAGAGAGGCUUGCUAGCAAAGGGGGCUGCUACCCACCUUCCCUUCGGUUGAAUUCCCUAGCUCUCUCG